rnacentral:rRNA from 1 species
UAGCCGUAAACGAUACUCGCUAGGUGUCGGCCACGGUGCGACCGUUGUCGGUGCCGUAGGGAAGCCGUGAAGCGAGCCACCUGGGAAGUACGGCCGCAAGGCUGAAACUUAAAGGAAUUGGCGGGGGAGCACAACAACGGGUGGAGCUUGCGGUUUAAUUGGAUUCAGCGCCGGAAAUCUUACCGGGACCGACAGCAACAUGAAGGCCAAGCUGAAGACUUUGCCGGAUUAGCUGAGAGGAGGUGCAUGGCGUAGUCGUGU